rnacentral:rRNA from 1 species
UGGGGAAUAUUGGGCAAUGGAGGAAACUCUGACCCAGCGACGCCGCGUGAGGGAUGAAGGCCUUCGGGUUGUAAACCUCUUUCAGUAGGGAAGAAGCGAAAGUGACGGUACCUACAGAAGAAGCACCGGCUAACUAUGAGCCAGCAGCCGCGGAACUACAUAGGGCGCAAGCGUUGUCCGGAAUUAUUGGGCGUAAAGAGCUCGUAGGUGGUUCGAUACGUCGGAUGUGAAAAUCAGGGGCUCAACCCC